rnacentral:rRNA from 1 species
GACGAACGCUGGCGGCGUGCUUAACACAUGCAAGUCGAACGAAGAGCGAUGGAAGCUUGCUUCUAUCAAUCUUAGUGGCGAACGGGUGAGUAACGCGUAAUCAACCUGCCCUUCAGAGGGGGACAACAGUUGGAAACGACUGCUAAUACCGCAUACGAUCCAAUCUCGGCAUCGGGACUGGAUGAAAGGUGGCCUCUAUUUAUCAGCUAUCACUGAAGGAGGGGAGUGCGUCGGCUUAGCUGGUUGGAGGGGUAACGGCCCACCAAGGCGAUGAUCAGUAGCCGGUCUGAGAGGAUGAACGGCCACAUUGGGACUGAGACACGGCCCAGACUCCUACGGGAGGCAGCAGUGGGGAAUCUUCCGCAAUGGACGAAAGUCUGACGGAGCAACGCCGCGUGAGUGAUGACGGCCUUCGGGUUGUAAAGCUCUGUUAAUCGGGACGAAUGGUUCUUGUGCGAAUAGUGCGAGGAUUUGACGGUACCGGAAUAGAAAGCCACGGCUAACUACGUG